rnacentral:rRNA from 1 species
GAUGAACGCUGGCGGCGUGCCUAAUACAUGCAAGUCGAGCGAACGGACGAGAAGCUUGCUUCUCUGAUGUUAGCGGCGGACGGGUGAGUAACACGUGGAUAACCUACCUAUAAGACUGGGAUAACUUCGGGAAACCGGAGCUAAUACCGGAUAAUAUUUUGAACCGCAUGGUACAAAAGUAAAAGACGGUCUUGCUGUCACUUAUAGAUGGAUCCGCGCUGCAUUAGCUAGUUGGUAAGGUAACGGCUUACCAAGGCAACGAUGCAUAGCCGACCUGAGAGGGUGAUCGGCCACACUGGAACUGAGACACGGUCCAGACUCCUACGGGAGGCAGCAGUAGGGAAUCUUCCGCAAUGGGCGAAAGCCUGACGGAGCAACGCCGCGUGAGUGAUGAAGGUCUUCGGAUCGUAAAACUCUGUUAUUAGGGAAGAACAUAUGUGUAAGUAACUGUGCACAUCUUGACGGUACCUAAUCAGAAAGCCACGGCUAACUACGUG